rnacentral:lncRNA from 1 species
GCCUGAAUGUGUGCGUGUGCGUGCGUGUGUGCGUGUGCCAUAUGUGCACCUGUGGCCCACAACAGCUAAUAGAGGGUGUUGGGUUCUUUGGAAAUGGAGUUACAGACAGUUGUGAACUGCCACAUGGAUACUGGAAAUUGAACCUAUGUCCUCUGAGAGCAGUGAAUACUUUUAAUUACUGAGCCAUCUCAAUUUUCUUCCUGUGUAGAGUGAGGGAAAUUUAACCCUUCAUCCGUGCUAGAUAAGUACCCUAACACUGAGCUAACUCCCCACUUGUAACAGUUUGAUUUGGUUAGAACUGAAGCUAACAUUUGUAAGUUUUUAACUUGUUAAAUAUACAUUGUCAUUUCCUCUUGUUACUUAGUUUUUCUUAGGUAGUGCUCACUUACCUUUUGUGCUGUAUAGGUAUAUUUUAUUGUACCAGAAGAAAGGUAAUCUUACUUCUUAAGAAUACCUGCUUCAGCUUUUCUUAUAAUCUCAUAUCCAGUGAAUUUAAAAGAUUAAUUCUUGUUUCUUUUCAAAUGAUUAUUUUUGUUUCUUCCUGGAACAGAAGAUAUUGAGAAAUUGUUUUUAAAAAUAGGCUGACGUUUCAGGCUGACCAAAGUCUAAGUUAGGGAAAUAAAAAUAUAAAUAUUUAAAUGUUCAAUAUACCAGACAGAUUAUUUUAGGUUGAUAUUUCCUGCAAGAAUAAGUGUUAUAGCUUCAUGUGCUCGACAGUGAAGUAUAGCAGACUCUGACUACAAAGCACAAACUUUUCUUUAGAUAUUGCUCACUCUGACAGUUAUACUUUGGCAGAGUCUUGAUUUUUUUUAUUUUUUAUUUUGUACCACAUACAGAAGAGUAUGUAAUGGGAUCAGCUUGAUG